GGGAAGGCAAGGGCAUGUACUCUUUGCUAAUGGGAAGAAGGCCUAAAGCAUCUCCCCAGGCUUCAGUGUGGGAAACACAAAAUAAUUGAUGAAUAGGUGGGUUUACUUCCUUGCCUGAAGUUGUUGGUCAGUCUUUUCAUUAGGCAGUUUGUUUGACUGCAUCCAUCCUUUCUGUUAAUGUCUCACACAGCAGAUCCAACACCUGCCUGCUCCAGAGAUGGGACUUGGAGGAGUUGCUGCCUGUGGAGGCUGAGCCCCAGCAGUGGUACUGGUGCUCCUCGUUGCCGUGUGGGAUCUGCUGGCUGGGAUGAGGAAUGGCCAGGGCCUGGAUGUCCUCGUGUUGGGAAGAGCGGAACGCGGAGCUCAGUAAGUCCCACUUGGCGGCAGAGACUUGUGAGUGAUCAGCAGCCCUCGGGGGAGAAGUGUGAUCCUGUUUACCUACAGCCAUAACUUCAUCACUGAAGACAAUUUUAAGCUUCCUAGGAAAGUUAAUUAAAAGGUAUGGCUUUUGUUCUAAUGAAAACACAGUAUGUGUGAGCUAUGGAGAAAUGAGGAUUAUUUUGUGUGUUUACCUGUAUUUUGACUGGAGAUGAAAAAGGAUAGUGCUUCCCAGAAGAAAAUCUGACCAAGCACAGGACUGUACUGAAGACAACUUAGGGCUUAUGCUUUGUGUUUUCUGCAACAAUUAUCUGUUACAUGGAAAAUUCAGUUUUCAGAAAGUCCACAAAAUUGUCCAGAGAGAGAGAUUGCACUGGUUUCAAUCAUCAAACAGUUGGCUUAGGUGCAGGACUUUGCUCUCCUUGUCUUAUGAUGCCUUCCUCUGCCCUCUUACAUGUGAGCUCUGUGUUUUUAGUUUGUAGACCUGAAGGCAGCACGGACAGCUUGGCAGAUCCUUUUGUUUGGUGAUUGUGCUGGAAUAUGGCUCACAGAGCUUACCUACUUCUGAGGUAGGAAGUAUAGGCAACAGUUUCAGAAGGUUGGAGGAAAGGUGGCAAAGCAAGCAGCAGCUGCUGUUCUCACGCAUCCUUUUCAGUGGUGUUAGUGGGUCCCUGGGACACACCUUGUGUGACCUGUUACCCUCUGGAGUUCUCCUGCAGUUGCCUUUUGUCUCUUCCUCUCAGGACCCUUUUGACCAUCUGUAGCUUGUGGAGAAUAUGAAAGCUCCUUCCUGUGUCCAAGAUCAAUAGCUUUAAAAAGAGAGUACAAGAAGCCACUAAUCAUCUUUUCCACCAGCCAUGAUUAAUUUCUGAAGUGCUUCAGUGAGUUCGCUUUGAAGUCCUGUUAUUUAUUUAUUUAUAACAAGUGUCCAGAAUGCGAGGGCCCACCCACGUGUCCUGCAACAGGCGAUGGCUCCUCCAGUGUUGUUUGGAUGUGGGUGGGCCACGGCACUUUUUGGAAAGCUCUCCCAAAUCCUGGAAAUAAGAUUUCAAAAGCCAAUUGAGAAGUUUCCCCAUGUGCCC
rnacentral:lncRNA from 1 species